CGCCUCCCCGCAAGCGCGCUCGCGAAAAAACCCAAUCCCACGCACCCUGAGGCCCCGACCCACGCUGAGAAAACCAGGGCAACAAAAACGUCAAAUCCCCGUCGUGUCCGCCGCCAUCUCCGCCCGCGUCUGCUGCCCUUCCCUUCUUGUCAAGCGCCCCUCGCUCUCGCCCCCUCCUCCUCUUCCUCUACGGCUGCUGCCGCCGAGGAGGUCGAGAUUACUCCUCCCCUGCAGCGACGCUCGUCGCCCCCGAUCCAGGAAGAUGUCGAGAUCCAUCCCCAUCGCGAGGGCAUCCUCCAGGUGGCCACGUCGCGAGAGCAUCUCCAGGUGGCCAGUCGGCGAGCGCGGCCUCCUCUCUCGCCGCGCAUCUCUCUCUCCCCGCUUACCCUUAACCUCGCGGCUCGACCACGCGCUGCUUGCCUGCGUCCACGCCGCCGCCCCAUGUCUGUGCAGUUCGCCUCUAAUGGAUCGGUCCAUUCUGACGCCUCCGUCGCUCCCCUUGACAACCUCAUCUCCCUGACGGGUUCCUCUGUUUAUUGAUCGGCAAUCUUUUGCUUCUCUGAGCGCGAAAAGAUUUGAUCUUUCCUCUUCGGCUGAUCUGUUGUAAGAAUAUGUAGAAUCACUCUUGUUCUGAGACACAAAAGGACGAAUUCUACCUGAACCUCAUGGAUUGGUCUUCGCAUAAUGUCCUCACCGUUGGAUUAGGGAACUGCGUGUACUUGUGGAAUGCAUGCAGCAGCAAGGUGAGCAAUCAGUUUUUACUGUUUUUGUGUAGGUAUGAAGUGGAAAAGUAUGAUUGGGACUGAUGGCUUGCAUAUCAAUAACAAUAAAGAACUAACAUUCGUGGAGAUGACUGGCAACAUCAACAUCAUGUACACUGCUGUUCGAUAUUCCGUAGCAGCGCACGGACACCUGACUAGUAAAAAUAAGUUUUCGGAUGCA